ACGCUGGCGGCGUGCCUAAUACAUGCAAGUCGAACGCACAGCGAAAGGUGCUUGCACCUUUCAAGUGAGUGGCGAACGGGUGAGUAACACGUGGACAACCUGCCUCAAGGCUGGGGAUAACAUUUGGAAACAGAUGCUAAUACCGAAUAAAACUUAGUGUCGCAUGACAUAAAGUUAAAAGGCGCUUCGGCGUCACCUAGAGAUGGAUCCGCGGUGCAUUAGUUAGUUGGUGGGGUAAAGGCCUACCAAGACAAUGAUGCAUAGCCGAGUUGAGAGACUGAUCGGCCACAUUGGGACUGAGACACGGCCCAAACUCCUACGGGAGGCUGCAGUAGGGAAUCUUCCACAAUGGGCGAAAGCCUGAUGGAGCAACGCCGCGUGUGUGAUGAAGGCUUUCGGGUCGUAAAGCACUGUUGUAUGGGAAGAACAGCUAGAAUAGGAAAUGAUUUUAGUUUGACGGUACCAUACCAGAAAGGGACGGCUAAAUACGUGCCAGCAGCCGCGGUAAUACGUAUGUCCCGAGCGUUAUCCGGGAUUUAUUGGGCGUAAAGCGAGCGCAGACGGUUUAUUAAGUCUGAUGUGAAAGCCCGGAGCUCAACUCCGGAAUGGCAUUGGAAACUGGUUAACUUGAGUGCAGUAGAGGUAAGUGGAACUCCAUGUGUAGCGGUGGAAUGCGUAGAUAUAUGGAAGAACACCAGUGGCGAAGGCGGCUUACUGGACUGCAACUGACGUUGAGGCUCGAAAGUGUGGGUAGCAAACAGGAUUAGAUACCCUGGUAGUCCACACCGUAAACGAUGAACACUAGGUGUUAGGAGGUUUCCGCCUCUUAGUGCCGAAGCUAACGCAUUAAGUGUUCCGCCUGGGGAGUACGACCGCAAGGUUGAAACUCAAAGGAAUUGACGGGGACCCGCACAAGCGGUGGAGCAUGUGGUUUAAUUCGAAGCAACGCGAAGAACCUUACCAGGUCUUGACAUCCUUUGAAGCUUUUAGAGAUAGAAGUGUUCUCUUCGGAGACAAAGUGACAGGUGGUGCAUGGUCGUCGUCAGCUCGUGUCGUGAGAUGUUGGGUUAAGUCCCGCAACGAGCGCAACCCUUAUUGUUAGUUGCCAGCAUUCAGAUGGGCACUCUAGCGAGACUGCCGGUGACAAACCGGAGGAAGGCGGGGACGACGUCAGAUCAUCAUGCCCCUUAUGACCUGGGCUACACACGUGCUACAAUGGCGUAUACAACGAGUUGCCAACCCGCGAGGGUGAGCUAAUCUCUUAAAGUACGUCUCAGUUCGGAUUGUAGUCUGCAACUCGACUACAUGAAGUCGGAAUCGCUAGUAAUCGCGGAUCAGCACGCCGCGGUGAAUACGUUCCCGGGUCUUGUACACACCGCCCGUCACACCAUGGGAGUUUGUAAUGCCCAAAGCCGGUGGCCUAACCUUUUAGGAAGGAGCCGUCUAAGGCAGGACAGAUGACUGGGG
rnacentral:rRNA from 1 species